rnacentral:tRNA from 1 species
CGGAACAUAGCUCAGCGGGAGAGCGGCGGUCUUAUAAGCCGUGUGUCUUGGGUCCGAUUCCCAAUGUUCCGA